GACGAACGCUGGCGGCGUGCCUAACACAUGCAAGUCGAACGCACACUCUAUACCGUCGUUUGCUUCACCAUAGACUGUGACUUGCGAACGGGUGAGUAACCCGUGGCUACCCUGCCUGGUAGCGGGGGAUAACUAUUGUUAACGAUAGAUAAUAUCGCAUAAUAGUAAUUAUUGCAUGAUAAUUAAUUGAAAGGUGCAAUUGCACCACUACCAGAUGGAUUUGUGUUGUAUUAGGUAGUAGGCGAGGUAACGGGCCACCUAGGCGACGAUACAUAGCCGACCUGAGAGGGUGGUCGGCCACACUGGGACUGAGACACGGCCCAGACUCCUACGGGAGGCAGCCGUAGGGAAACUUCGGCAAUGGGGGGAAGUCUGGCCGAGCAACGCCGCGGGAGGGAAGAAGGUUUUCGGGUCGUAAAGCUCUGUUGUAAGGGAAGAACGAGUGUGAGGGUGGAAAGUUCACACUGUGACGGUAUCUUACCAGAAAGGAACGGCUAACUACGUG
rnacentral:rRNA from 1 species